ensembl:lncRNA
GUUUUAUUUACCCAGCCAAGUGCCUAAUGCAGAGUACCUAGUAAACGUUUGCCAUCUGAAUGACCACGUGGCUGGGCGCGCCCCAUCCACCAUCGAGGUGCUGGAGGGUUUGUGGAGCCAAGCCCCACCUGGGAGGCACGAUCUUUACAAGCUCCUUAAGGACACAGACCAUGUGAACUCAUAAUGUAAUAUGUGAUCAAUGCAAAGAAAUAGGGAAAAAAUAGAAUGGGAAAGACUAGAGAUUUCUUCAAGAAAACUAGAGAUACCAAGGGAACAUUUCAUGCAAAGAUAGGCACAAUAAAGGACAGAAAUGGUAUGGAUCUAACAGAAGGAG